AGAGAGUUGCCAGAGUUUGGCGAAUGGACCGGGUUUGAAAACCGGCGGGGUUAACGGCUCCGAGGGGUCGAAGCCCUUGCUCUCUGCCA
rnacentral:tRNA from 1 species